UCUCCAAUGGACCUUUUUUUUUUUUACAGCAAUGGCGGAUCGAGGAGGCUCUCAAUAGUUCCCGGAAGUUAGCAACAAAUGCUCGCAGCGCAGAUGCGCUUGUAAAGGUGGGGAAACCGUCCAUUCGUACUCCUUUCUCCGAGCGACUGGAGCAUCCCCAUGCAGCACAGCAAACCAUCGUGGAGACUAUAUGCAAGGACAACAC